rnacentral:rRNA from 1 species
GUAGGUGGCAAGCGUUGUCCGGAAUUAUUGGGCGUAAAGCGCGCGCAGGCGGUCCUUUAAGUCUGAUGUGAAAGCCCACGGCUCAACCGUGGAGGGUCAUUGGAAACUGGGGGACUUGAGUACAGAAGAGGAAAGCGGAAUUCCAAGUGUAGCGGUGAAAUGCGUAGAGAUUUGGAGGAACACCAGUGGCGAAGGCGGCUUUCUGGUCUGUAACUGACGCUGAGGCGCGAAAGCGUGGGGAGCAAACAGGAUUAGAUACCCUGGUAGUCCACGCCGUAAACGAUGAGUGCUAAGUGUUAGGGGGUUUCCGCCCCUUAGUGCUGCAGCUAACGCAUUAAGCACUCCGCCCGGGGAGUACGGCCGCAAGGCUG